GUCUUUAUUAUUGUCUCAACUAACUCUGUCAAACAAACAAGCGUAAACAUCAAGGCCUUGCGACCUUGUGCUAAUGUUGUGAGUACUGCGCAAGCGCAGCCUCGCAAAGAUUUGUAAUGAUCCUUCCGCAGGUUCACCUACGGAAA
rnacentral:misc_RNA from 1 species